rnacentral:pre_miRNA from 1 species
CUCUGUAAAGCUCAGGAGGGAUAGCGCCAUAAGCAAUGAUAAUGGUUAUUGAUUUUUGGGUUAAUCUACUACAUUAAUGGCGCUAUCUAUCCUGAGUUUCACAGGUUC